CACGUAGGGACCAAGCGUUGUCCGGAUUCAUUGGGCGUAAAGAGCUCGUAGGCGGUUCGGUAAGUCGGGUGUGAAACCUCCAGGCUCAACCUGGGAAUGGCCGUUGAAACUGGCGAACUGGAGUGUGGCAGAGGGGGGUGGAAUUCCGCGUGUAGCAGUGAAAUGCGUAGAGAUGCGGAGGAACACCGAUGGCGAAGGCAGCCCCCUGGGCUGACACUGACGCUCAGGCACGAAAGCGUGGGGAGCAAACAGG
rnacentral:rRNA from 1 species